rnacentral:rRNA from 1 species
UACGGGGGGGGGCAAGCGUUGUUCGGAAUUACUGGGCGUAAAGGGCUCGUAGGCGGCCAACUAAGUCGGAUGUGAAAAUCCCCCAGGCUUAACCUGGGAAUUGCAUCCGAUACUGGAUGGCUUGAAUCCGGGAGAGGGAUGCGGAAUUCCAGGUGUAGCGGUGAAAUGCGUAGAUAUCUGGAGGAACACCGGUGGCGAAGGCGGCAUCCUGGACCGGCAUUGACGCUGAGGAGCGAAAGCCAGGGGAGCAAACGGGG